UACGUAGGUGGCAAGCGUUGUCCGGAAUCAUUGGGCGUAAAGAGCGCGCAGGCGGCUUGGCAAGUCGGGUGUGAAAUCCCGGGGCUCAACCCCGGGACUGCAUUCGAUACUGUCAGGCUAGAGGUAGGUAGGGGAGAUCGGAAUUCCCGGUGUAGCGGUGGAAAUGCGCAGAUAUCGGGAGGAACACCGAUGGCGAAGGCAGGUCUCUGGGCAUUAACUGACGCUGAGGAGCGAAAGCAUGGGGAGCGAACAGG
rnacentral:rRNA from 1 species